rnacentral:rRNA from 1 species
GUAGGGAAUAUUGCGCAAUGGACGAAAGUCUGACGCAGCAACGCCGCGUGAGCGAUGAAGGUCUUCGGAUCGUAAAGCUCUGUCAGCGGGGACGAACCGUCCCGGGUCGAAUAGACACGGGAUCUGACGGUACCCGCAGAGGAAGCACCGGCCAACUCCGUGCCAGCAGCCGCGGUAAUACGGAGGGUGCAAGCGUUGUUCGGAUUUACUGGGCGUAAAGCGCGAGCAGGCGGGUCGGCAAGUCCUGUGUGUAAUCUUUCGGCUCAACCGAAAAACUGCAUGGGAAACUACCGGUCUUGAGUGCGAGAGAGGAUGGCGGAAUUCCUGGUGUAGCGGUGAAAUGCGUAGAUAUCAGGAGGAACACCGGUGGCGAAGGCGGCCAUCUGGCUCGACACUGACGCUCAUUCGCGAAGGUCGGGGGAGCAAACAGGAUUAGAUACCCUAGUAGUCC